GGGUGCGAUCAUAACAACACUAAUGCACCAGAUCCCAUCGGAACUCUGCAGCUUAGCGUGCUUGGGUGAGAGUAGUAUUAGGAUGGCUGACCUCCUGGGAAGUCCUCAUGUUGCACCUC
rnacentral:rRNA from 1 species